rnacentral:rRNA from 1 species
UACGUAGGGUGCGAGCGUUGUCCGGAAUUAUUAGGCGUAAAGAGCUCGUAGGCGGUCUGUCGCGUCUGCUGUGAAAUCCCGAGGCUCAACCUCGGGCUUGCAGUGGGUACGGGCAGGCUAGAGUGCGGUAGGGGAGAAUGGAACUCCUGGUGUAGCGGUGGAAUGCGCAGAUAUCAGGAAGAACACCGAUGGCGAAGGCAGUUCUCUGGGCCGUAACUGACGCUGAGGAGCGAAAGCGUGGGGAGCGAACAGG